UACGGAGGGUGCAAGCGUUAUCCGGAUUUACUGGGUUUAAAGGGUGCGUAGGUGGAUAGGAAAGUCAGUGGUGAAAUCUUCGGGCUUAACCCGGAAACUGCCAUUGAUACUAUUUAUCUUGAAUACUUUGGAGGUAAGCGGAAUAUGUCAUGUAGCGGUGAAAUGCUUAGAUAUGACAUAGAACACCAAUUGCGAAGGCAGCUUACUACACAGUUAUUGACACUGAGGCACGAAAGCGUGGGGAGCGAACAGGAUUAGAAACCC
rnacentral:rRNA from 1 species